rnacentral:rRNA from 1 species
UACGAAGGGGGCUAGCGUUGCUCGGAAUCACUGGGCGUAAAGGGUGCGUAGGCGGGUCUUUAAGUCAGGGGGGAAAUCCUGGAGCUCAACUCCAGAACUGCCUUUGAUACUGAAGAUCUUGAGUUCGGGAGAGGUGAGUGGAACUGCGAGUGUAGAGGUGAAAUUCGUAGAUAUUGGGAAGAACACCAGUGGCGAAGGCGGCUCACUGGCCCGUAACUGACGCUGAGGUGCGAAAGCGUGGGGAGCAAACAGG